rnacentral:rRNA from 1 species
GACGAACGCUGGCGGCGUGCCUAAUACAUGCAAGUCGAGCGAAGUUUUUCUGGUGCUUGCACUAGAAAAACUUAGCGGCGAACGGGUGAGUAACACGUAAAGAACCUGCCUCAUAGACUGGGACAACUAUUGGAAACGAUAGCUAAUACCGGAUAACAGUAUUUCUCGCAUGAGAGAUAUUUAAAAGUUGGUUAUGCUAACACUAUGAGAUGGCUUUGCGGUGCAUUAGCUAGUUGGUGGGGUAAAGGCCCACCAAGGCGACGAGGCAUAGCCGACCUGAGAGGGUGAUCGGCCACACUGGGACUGAGACACGGCCCAGACUCCUACGGGAGGCAGCAGUAGGGAAUCUUCCGCAAUGGGCGAAAGCCUGACGGAGCAACGCCGCGUGAGUGAAGAAGGAGUUCGGUUCGUAAAGCUCUGUUGUUAGGGAAGAAUGGAUAUGUAGUAACUAUACAUGUAAGAGACGGUACCUAACCAGAAAGCCACGGCUAACUACG